rnacentral:rRNA from 1 species
CGAGGGGCAGCAUUCUUAGCUUGCUAAGGCGAUGGCGACCGGCGCACGGGUGAGUAACACGUAUCCACCUGCCGUCUACUCUUGGCCAGCCUUCUGAAAGGAAGAUUAAUCCAGGAUGGCUUCACAUGUCUAAAGGUAUUCGGUAGACGAUGGGGAUGCGUUCCAUUAGAUAGUAGGCGGGGUAACGGCCCACCUAGUCAACGAUGGAUAGGGGUUCUGAGAGGAAGGUCCCCCACAUUGGAACUGAGACACGGUCCAAACUCUACGGGAGGCAGCAGUGAGGAAUAUUGGUCAAUGGGCGAUGGCCUGAACCAGCCAAGUAGCGUGAAGGAUGACUGCCUAUGGGUUGUAAACUUCUUUUAUAAAGGAAUAAGUCGGGUAUGCAUACCCGUUUGCAUGUACUUUAUGAAUAAGGAUCGGCUAACUCCGUGCCAGCAGCCGCGGUAAUACGGAGGAUCCGAGCGUUAUCCGGAUUUAUUGGGUUUAAAGGGAGCGUAGAUGGAUGUUUAAGUCAGUUGUGAAAGUUUGCGGCUCAACCGUAAAAUUGCAGUUGAUACUGGAUGUCUUGAGUGCAGUUGAGGCAGGCGGAAUUCGUGGUGUAG